ensembl:snRNA U6 U6 spliceosomal RNA
AUGCUCACUUCGGCAGCACAUAUACUAAAAUUAAACUACAUAGAGAUUAGCGUGGCCCCUGCGCAAGGGUGACAUGCAAAUUCAUGAAGCAUUCCGUGUUUUU